rnacentral:rRNA from 1 species
UACGUAGGGGGCGAGCGUUGUCCGGAUUUAUUGGGCGUAAAGAGCGUGUAGGCGGCCAGGUAGGUCUGCUGUGAAAACUCGAGGCUCAACCUCGAGACGUCGGCGGAAACCAUCUGGCUAGAGUCCGGAAGAGGAGAGUGGAAUUCCUGGUGUAGCGGUGAAAUGCGCAGAUAUCAGGAAGAACACCCGUGGCGAAAAGCGGCUCUCUGGAACGGUACUGACGCUGAGACGCGAAAAGCGUGGGGGAGCGAACAGG